rnacentral:sRNA from 1 species
UUGACUCUCAAAUGAGAAUCGUUAUGAUUAUCACAACUGGUCGCGAGAUCAGCCGAUAACUGAAAGACCAUUGGUUCGGACUCUCAGAUUAUCUCCUCAUCAGGCUAAUCACGGUUAUUUGACCCGGCUUUUGCCGGGUCUUUUUUUA